rnacentral:rRNA from 1 species
AUUGAACGCUAGCGGGAUGCUUUACACAUGCAAGUCGAACGGCAGCGCGGACUUCGGUCUGGCGGCGAGUGGCGAACGGGUGAGUAAUGUAUCUGAACGUGCCCAAUAGCGGGGGAUAACUACGCGAUAGCGUAGCUAAUACCGCAUACGCCCUACGGGGGAAAUCCGGGGAUCGUAAGACCUUGCACUUUUGUAGCGGCCGAUAUCGGAUUAGCUAGCUGGUGUGGUAACGGCUCACCAAGGGGACGAUCCGUAGCUGGUUUGAGAGGACGAACAGGCACACUGGGACUGAGAAACGGCCCAGACUCCUACGGGAGGCAGCAGUGGGGAAUUUUGGACAAUGGGGGCAAGCCUGAUCCAGCCAACCGGCGUGUGCGAUGAAGGACUUCGGGUUGUAAAGCACUUUUGGCAGGAAAGAAACGUCGCGGGCUAAUACCCCGUGGAACUGACGGUACCUGCAGAAUAAGCACCGGCUAACUACGUG